AUAUAAUAUAACUAUUCAUUUCAAAUGUGUGUGUGAGUGUUGUGUUGCUAUAUAAGAUCCUCAUCAGCUGAUAGGAAAAGAUUAUGUUGAAAAGAAGAAGUUUAGAGAUGGAUGUGAGGAAAGUGAUGAGAGCAAUUGGUAUGCUAGUUUUAGGUGUGGGAAUGCUAAGUGGAAAAUCCUCAGCUACUUUCAAAGACUGCUACACCAAAUGCUUCAUUUUCUGCAUGAUUGAACCUUCUCAAACCCUUUGUUCCUGCACCACACACUGCUUGAAGGAUUGCAUCUUCCAAGAAAUCCAGAACGAUCUUCGUGAAGAUUCCGACAACCUCGGCUUCUGCAAACUCGGCUGCGCCUUCUCCAUGUGCUCUACUUUCAGCUCCAAACGCACGCCCAGUAAUUAAUAACCCUUCUUCUUCUUCUUCUUCUUCUUCUUCUUCUUCCUCUUCCUCUCUCUCUUAUUUUGAUGGUUCGUUUUUUCUUUUUUCAGAUGGUGACAAAGUGGAUAGCUGUGUGGGGUCCUGCUCCAACAAGUGCACCAAGAGCUACUCAUCAUUACCUUAAUUACAAGAAUUUCCUCUCAUGAUUUGUACCUUGAAAACUAAUUAUUCCAUGAUUUCAUCAGAUCAAAUUAGUUGGAAAAUUGCAGUCAAUUGGACUAUGAUAUCUUUGUGUAAACCCCAAUUUGAAAGAAGAAUUAUCAUCUCAACCUUUCGGAAUUGUCUUGUUCUUGUUUUGUUGUGUUUAGUUUAUAUCACCAAAGAAAAAUCCAAGUCUUCAAAUCUGUGAUCUAUGACUAGUAUUAGUAAUGAGAAUGGUCUGCUAUUUGUUUAUUAACAUUUUUGUAAUAUUGUAAGUGGCCCGUGAGCAAGAUGCUGAUAAUAAAUGAAACAUUUUUCAGAUGAAUAAAUACUCCUAUAAUAACAUAAUAUGACAUCAGAUGGUCACGGGAGUAAAUAUUUCAAAAUUCAACACAAUCCAACACUAAAAUGACUGUAAGUAGUAGAUCUAUAAUCAAAUUUUAAACAACUAGGAAAUUACAUGUACAGGAAUAUCGAAUUCUGAUGUUCGAAAUGCAACAGCAAUUUCCUAAUGUGUCUAAAUUUAGGACAAAGGUUGCCAUGCAAAGAAUCACAAAGAGUAGUACUAAACGUUAUGUCAUCAUUUAAAGGAGUUCAAUAAAACUGUGGGAAAAAUCUCACUUUCAAGUCUCAAGAAUUAAACAUAUAGCAUAAUCAGUGAGCCCAGCCAGGUACAUUGACCCAAAAACAAGAUACUUCUCAAGGUCUAUCACAGACUAACGACGCAUAAACGAACACAAACUCCCAUUUUACAUGUCUCCUAGCACAACAGACGCGAAAUUGGAGGAGGUAGGCAUUUCACAAAUUUUCGACUAGUAGAGAAAAAGAUGCUCAUCAUUCAUCAGCCUUGGGAGAAUUUUCUGGGGUUCUCAGUGCAACUGGGGCAGUAGAUUUGUGCUUGGUGACUUCUGCUCGAAAAUCUUCAACUAUGGAAGGAUCCUUGAAUUUCAAGGCAAAUGUUGAAAGAGCGUCUUUCCCCUCACCAGCACUGUUCACGCAGGCAAAAGUGAUGCCUUUCUUGUCCAUAUUUGUAAGCUUCAUGUCUGGAAAAAGACUAGCAUUGAGAAUUAGACGAUAAUUUCCUCGGGCCCUCAUAACAAGUCUGCCUUUUCCUGUCCCUGUUGUGGAAACGUUGACCUUCAGUUCCCCCUUCCCCCGUUCCUUCCAAGAUCCGUCAAUAUAUUACAAAAAGAAUAGAAUCAGCAGUGAAAACAGCAUUCUCAUUCUCCUCUCCAGUUUGAAUAGGANUUAAGUACAUUUUCUUUACUGAAAAUGAAAAACGAGACUAUUGGAGUGAGACGUCUCAAAAAGGAAAACGAACCUAUUAAAAUGGGACGGAGAGAGUAAUAUAUUUAUAUAAAUUAAAAUUUUAAAAAUAAAUAAAUAUAUCGUGGCCCGUGCAUCGCACGGGAGGAUGUACUAGUAAUAAAUUAAUAACUAGUAAAAAUUAAUCGUUCAUUUUAAAUAACCUCUUGAUAUUUUUUUAUUUUUUUAUGAUCAGUAGGUAAAAGUACCCACAUUUAUUUACAUAAAUGUUGUUGAGAUGUGAUGUUACUUCGGGUUGAUCUCAAAGAACAUUAGGUGUUCUGAAUUGAAGAUUAAUGUUACCAUCUUUGGAGCUAAAAAGUAUGAUACUAUAUCUUUAAAAAGUAUGAAAUUGUUACCUAAAAUUCUUUAAUAUUUAAGUUGAAUCGGUGUAAAGUGAAUUAAACUAAUAAAGUGUAAUACAAGGAAUAUUAAAAACUUAUCGUUGCCAUUGAUCAAUAGUAUUUAUAUAGUAAUAUGAAUCGAGGUGAGGGUAUGAAUAGAAAAUUGGCUUGUUUGAUCAUUUUGGACAUCUUUAAAUGUAAAAUGGUAUUUUGAUUAUUACUAAUCGUCGAGAAGGAAUCAUGAAAGAAUAUAUAAAAAUUUGUAGUAGGUGAAGGGGCCGGACAUAACAAAUAAAUAAUUUUUAGGGAGGUUCAAUUAAUAAUAAUAGAAAUAAAAAUUAAAAAAAAUUAGUGUAACAUUCCCUAACUUUAACAUACCCAAAAAGAUAAAUAUCCAUUGAAAUUUAGAAAAAAAUUAAAACAUUUGUAAGAAAAAUAAAUAAGUUAGAUUUAUAAAUAAACUACAACAGUUAAUUAACAAUUAUCAAGAACUGUGAACUAAUCAAGUAUUUAUGACUUAUACUCCCAUCAAUUGACAUAAUAUAUAAAUCAACUAAUUAUUGACAAAUAUGAUUAAGAAAAUAUUUAAAAUGAAGAGCUCGUAAUUAAAUAGAUAUUUUAAAUAGUAGAUUUUCUUGAAUAUAAUAUUUGGCAGCAGUAGUGAAGGGACUAAAAAAGAGUAUACGUAGAGACUUGGACAAUUCUAAAUAUGUGACUAUUACUUAUAUGUAUUGUUAGACGACAAAUAACAAUCACAUGUCGCAUUGAACUUGUGACCCAAAUAUAUAUGUGCAUAAUAUACAUAUCAGCACUUCUCUUAUAUAUAAAUCCAACUUGGACCAUAUUUUAAUUACUUUUUCUCUGAGACAAACUGAAUCAUUAGUUUCAGCGAUUCACGGAAUAAAUUGCUUUUCAAUUUUGACAACCACAACUCAUCAUUUCUUCUACUUGCUACUCUCUAACUAUAUACGAUAUCGAUGGAGUAUUUAUUUUGUUUCGUAAUGUCAACUUCGUUUCCGAAUUUGAAUUCAUCAUGGCGUAAUAUUUAAAUUGACUUGUUAAUAUAUAUAUAGAAAAAUGGUACUUAAUUAUAUUGUGUAUAUAUUGACCUAGCAAUAAAUGUUAAUGUAUGAAGUCAAAGAUCUUGGAUUCGAGUCAACAUUGACGUGGCCUUUAAAUUUAACUGUUAAAUUGACCAAAAAAAAAAAAACAAAAAAAAAGAAUACCAUCUCAUCUCCACUGUCUGCUGAAUUCACUUAUACAUUACAUAUAUAUGUGUAAUAUAAAUAUUUUAAUAUAUAAAGUGGUAUUUUAACCACCAUUUGAAAAGUGUGAUACGAAAUUAGCUCGAACAACUUAAUUAUAAGUGGGCAUCCCAAAAAUGGGUUACUACUGGCCACUCACAUGACUGCCAUAAGAUGCAUAUAAUAUAACUAUUCAUUUCAAAUGUGUGUGUGUGAGUGUUGUGUUGCUAUAUAAGAUCCUCAUCAGCUGAUAGGGAAAGAUUAUGUUGAAAAGAAGAAGUUUAGAGAUGGAUGUGAGGAAAGUGAUGAGAGCAAUUGGUAUGCUAGUUUUAGGUGUGGGAAUGCUAAGUGGAAAAUCCUCAGCUACUUUCAAAGACUGCUACACCAAAUGCUUCAUUUUCUGCAUGAUUGAACCUUCUCAAACCCUUUGUUCCUGCACCACACACUGCUUGAAGGAUUGCAUCUUCCAAGAAAUCCAGAACGAUCUUCGUGAAGAUUCCGACAACCUCGGCUUCUGCAAACUCGGCUGCGCCUUCUCCAUGUGCUCUACUUUCAGCUCCAAACGCACGCCCAGUAAUUAAUAACCCUUCUUCUUCUUCUUCUUCCUCUUCUUCUUCUUNCAAAGAUCUUGGAUUCGAGUCAACAAUUGACGUGGACCUUUAAAUUUAAACUAGUUAAAAUUAGACCAAAAAAACAAAAAAAAAAAGAAAGUAACUCAUCUCAUCUCCACUGUCUGCUGAAUUCACUUAUACAUUACAUAUAUAUGUGUAAUAUAAAUAUUUUAAUAUAUAAAGUGGUAUUUUAACCACCAUUUGAAAAGUGUGAUACGAAAUUAGCUCGAACAACUUAAUUAUAAGUGGGCAUCCCAAAAAUGGGUUACUACUGGCCACUCACAUGACUGCCAUAAGAUGCAUAUAAUAUAACUAUUCAUUUCAAAUGUGUGUGUGUGAGUGUUGUGUUGCUAUAUAAGAUCCUCAUCAGCUGAUAGGGAAAGAUUAUGUUGAAAAGAAGAAGUUUAGAGAUGGAUGUGAGGAAAGUGAUGAGAGCAAUUGGUAUGCUAGUUUUAGGUGUGGGAAUGCUAAGUGGAAAAUCCUCAGCUACUUUCAAAGACUGCUACACCAAAUGCUUCAUUUUCUGCAUGAUUGAACCUUCUCAAACCCUUUGUUCCUGCACCACACACUGCUUGAAGGAUUGCAUCUUCCAAGAAAUCCAGAACGAUCUUCGUGAAGAUUCCGACAACCUCGGCUUCUGCAAACUCGGCUGCGCCUUCUCCAUGUGCUCUACUUUCAGCUCCAAACGCACGCCCAGUAAUUAAUAACCCUUCUUCUUCUUCUUCUUCUUCUUC
rnacentral:lncRNA from 1 species